GUAGGCUUGGUACAGUUAACCAAGCACCUAGUUCUCAUAACCAAUUUUUGGUUAACCAAUUAUCACUUGGUUACCACAACUAACCAUUUUUUUUCGUAUACGAAUGCGCUUAUUAUAGCACGAUAACGCGCGUGGCUGCAGUACACAGUCGAUCGAUUCAGAAGGUUUUUUUUAUCUGUCUUAAUACGAUUUUGAACGUCUUAUAAAUUGUCGCGAUCGAUUUUCCAGAAACGGGCUGCAUUGAUCCCGAAGUUGUUCGCACAAAUAGGAAGAAAUAGACUGUGCUUUACGUAUACGAGGCUAUUGCGCAAUUUACGUAAUCGUUUACUUAUGUAAAAUUGCUGAUUUAAUGCAUAAUGAUGGGCAUUUUUUUGUAUCAAUUUCAUUCACAGCAAAAACGCGCAUAUCGAAGCCACGUAUGUACGCACCGACGAAGUAAAAGUAUCAGCAGGACAUCGACUUUUACCAAAUCAGGCGGCAGCGUUCAAUUAUACUUACUCGCUCUCCGCAUCGCGUACAUGCCUGCACAUGGACAUUCCUCCCGACCGUUCGUGUUUAUUUUUUCAACGCUCGACGCGGUCGCACGUUGUUUGUACUCAUCCAAGGUACACAGGUUGUACAUACACACGACUUCGAGAAUCGGGAACAAUGAGGGCGUGCACGCGCGCGCGGCCGAGGAGAAAGAAAGGAAACACUCGCUUUCUCCACAUGUGUGUAUAUACAUUAUAAGUACGCGCUGCGACUUGUAAGCUAUGGCUUAAUGUAUGUAUACCGAGUAGCUUUGCAAAAAACGUUGCGGAAUGUCGCGCGCCAGAGAGCCGAGGAAUGAGUUCUCAUUUACGUGGGUGAUGUAAAUUUUAGUUUUUUCGGGACAACCAAGAGAUGUAUUAAUUUUGUUUAUGUGCAUAUACGCGGUAAAAGGUGAACAAUGAGGAGAAUACCGCGCGUAAACACGCACUAGGAAGUAUUGUUGGACGUUAUCGGACUUGGCAAAGUAUCGACUGUUAUUGAUGCGCUCGAUGAUGUUAACGCAUUUUUUCUGCGAUCAGUGUUGAGAAUGGAAGAAUUUUUCCACGGAAGUGAGCAUUAACAGCUUGCUUUAACGAGGCGCGUAUAUUCUUAGAUCUAGCGAUGAAAAAAAAAGUCAAAAGAAUCAAAGCGACGUACACAUUUAACUCCCUUUCGCGAAUUUUGUGCUUCGAAUGGUGACCUAGCUUUUGUGUAUGUACACUCCACGUCAAAACGAAUCCUCCAAUGAAAAGGCGAAUUUGCUUUAGUUUAUUUCAAUGAAUCAAAUUAAAUCCUUCAUAGCUUUUGUACGUUUUCUUUGAACUUUUGUGACUUUCAAGCUUAUGGCUGGAGCGGAAAUUAUGAUUCCAUUUCCAUAUAAAUAUUCCCUUUGUUCGCAAUCGAUCCGUUCUACUAUACUUAUAUGUUUGCUUUCAUUUAAAGAAACUGCAGAUGUUUCGCAAAAUAUCAAAGAAGGAAAUUCAAAGCAUUUCAGUCGCCCAUCGCCAUCUACCGGUAUUUCGUUCGAAUAGCUGCGAAUCUGUUUUGUCGACAGACGGACGGAACAAAACCGGUGCAGAAAAGUAAACCAUCCUUUAUCUGCGUACUACUUACUUUUUAACAUUUUCAAGUCAUUAUUUUUCUCGCAAAUAAUAUGAUUUUGCAAGUUGUUUUUUCAUGUAGGUUUUUACUAGUCGCUUCUUGACAAUUUCGAUAUGAAUAUCAGCUAUUUCUCCUGUACUAGAAUUUCUUUUGGUAGCAUGCUAAAACUGAACUUUAUCGAACGUUCUGUAAAAGUAAAAUCAAACUUCUGUACAUCAUUUCAUUCAUCAUGUGGCGGAAUGGGAUGUCAAGAAGACUCGCGUAUUUUAGAUUGAGCGAAAAGUCAGAUUAUUUCAUAGCAAAAUUCAGUAGGUGGCUAAAGCGUAGUAAAGAAAUUGCAUCAAAACAUGAUAAUUUAAUUCGAACUGAAAUGUUUGUACAAGAAGGAUUCGAUAUUUAUGAAUUGCCCAUAGUUAUUAAAAAGAUCAGUGACAUACAUUUUUUUUGUAACGCUAAAAACGUUGAUAAUUUUCCUGCUACUCUGUGCAUUAGUCAACCCUUCAAGGAACAUAAAUCAGAAGAACAUUGUAAUGCAUUGCAAAACAGGAAACAAAAGAUUUGCAUUGAUGCUGAUAAUAUUCCUAUUUUAUUUGCUCAAGAAGUAAAUAUUUCAAAUAUCUUGAAUGUGGAACAAAUUUUUAAAGAGACUGUAAACUCAAUAUCAGAGGAAAAGAUCAAGGCAUUAUUAUUAGAUUCAGCCAUUCAUAUGGAUAUUAAUAGUAGGAUGGCACUGGAGUGCUUGAAAAAAAUUAUUAACAUGGAAAGAAAACAUAGAAAACUUAUGAGAGCUUCAAAAUUUAUACCAAAUCGUCAUAUGAUGUUGAGACAGUUAUCUGAAAUUAUUAUCACUAGCCAAGACAGUGGAGUAAUUUUGAAAGCACUCUCUAUAAUUAUAAAAGAUAAGUUUUUACCCCCAAAUAACUCGUACAAGGAUAUUCUCACUAAUGAAGCAUUGAUCAGAUCCACCAAUGGAGAUUUCAGUAUUCAACAAUUAAUUGAUAUAAUUAAGAUUCUUUCUAUUUUUGGAGAUGCAAAAUAUCAAGACGCAAUAGAUUAUUUUUGGACCGGUAUUGUAAUAAAACAGGAAGACAUCACUGCUCAUCAUUUGGUACCAUUAUUCAAACUGCUUAGUUACAUGAAAAGAAGUAGAAUCAGAGUGCAAAUUUUAUUAGAGAAAAAGUUGAUAAAGAACUAUCAUAAACUGUCUGCACCACAGAUGACUGACAUACUAAAUAUAUUUCAAAAAUAUUCAAAGUCAUCGGUAGUUAUGAAAUGUGCCAGUAAGUGGGCAACUAUGCACCUGUUAUCUAUUUCGAAAUAUGAUUUUUUAGAAUUUGUAGAGAGUCUUACAACUGCCAAGUUCAUAAAUUUCACUCUUGAAAAAGCAAUAGAAAAAGCACUGGAUAUGAAAAAAAUGAAGAGCAAUGAUCAUUCAUUGAUGUCAGCUGUUGCUGUUUACUGCUCAACGGUUCAUCUGAGGAAUAUAUGCAUAUGUAACAGAGUAGUAAAAUAUCUUGAAAAACAUAGCAAAUAUCUUCCACUGGAUUCAUCAGUUGAAAUGAUAGUUGCUUUAGGAAAUUUAAAUUUUGAACUGCAAAGCAAAGAUGAUUUUUGGCAUGCUUUCGAACAAACAUUAGAUAAUCAGUUUUUUUACUUGGAGCAAGAGAAGGUGAUGCAAGUUUUAUUGUCUUGUGCAUAUAUAAACAAGUAUUUUCCCAAAUGUAUGCAGAAGAUUUUUUCACCGGGAUUCUUAGAUAACUUGGAAUCGCAAGGUGACACAGCAAUGGCACAAUCGUUGAGAAAUCAGUUAUAUGUUCUAGAUACAGCAAUGACUUUAGAGUGCACAACAUACAGUGGUCCACUUCUAUUUCGUUCAAAUCAAUUAGAUCCAGUUGUCAUUGACAUGCAAAUCACAAGAACAAUUAGCAGAAUUCAUAGUCAAUUAAUAAAAUUAGCAGGUGACAGCGAAAAAUUGAGCACACAUGUUACUUUAAGUAAUUUAUCCACAACACCAUUGUAUAUAAUUGAUGCUUUGAUUCAUAAACAAUCGAAAUACACGCGAGCUUUGGAAUUAGAUUUGAUCAAAGAAAAAAAUGAAAAUACAGCUGUGAUUGUAUUGCUACCACACCAUUACUGCUGGGGUUCGUGUAAAUUAAUCGGCGAACAGGCGAUGAGAAUAAGACACCUAAGAAAAUUAGGAUUUAGAGUCAUGCUUCUUGAUUUUAAUAAUUUAUGUUUGACCUAUGGCAAAGUACACGAAUUAGCAAAAUAUUUAAAUCGUGCGUUCAAAACGGCGUACGAAGCUUUAUAACGUUCUUCGACUAAACUUAUUAUAAAAAAAGCACAGCGUGGGUAUUCCCCGUAAAGUGAAUGUUCGCAUAAUACAAAACUAGAAUUUUUAAAAGAGUCCCGUGUGAUAAAGACCCCCAAGGAAAUAGAAGUCCUGCGCUACGUUGUCAAGGUGAGCUCAGAUGCGCACAAAUCUGUGAUGAGAACGGUGCGUCCAGGCCUAGCCGAAUUUCAAGCCGAAGCUGCCUUUCAACAUUACGCUUACUCCGUCGGAGGUUGUAGAUACGUCUCUUAUACUUGCAUAUGCGGCUCUGGAUGCAAUGCCGCUAUUUUGCAUUACGGGCACGCCGGAGCACCGAACAACAAAGUGCUUAAAGAUGGCGAUAUGUGUCUCUUUGACAUGGGUGGAAACUACUGUGGCUACGCAGCUGAUAUAACGUGCAGUUUUCCGGCCAAUGGCAAGUUCACCGACGACCAGAAGAUUGUCUACAAUGCAGUGUUGGACGCCCGUAACGCCGUAAUGAAUGCAGCAAAGCCUGGCGUCCUUUGGACGGAUAUGCAUCUGUUGGCCAAUCGAGUUAUGUUAGAGGCUCUAAAGAAGGGUGGCCUGUUGCAAGGUGAUGUCAGGGACAUGAUCAAGGCGGGUUUGAACGCGGUCUUCCAGCCUCAUGGAUUAGGGCACUUCCUUGGUCUGGACGUGCACGAUGUCGGUGGUUACCUGCCGAAUCAUCCGGCAAGGUCCAAGGAACCCGGUUUGAACAAACUCAGAACUGCCCGACCACUGAUGGCUGGCAUGGUUCUCACCAUCGAACCUGGUUGCUAUUUUAUUGACUGGUUACUUGACAAGGCUCGUGAGAACAAGGAGCAGUCUAAAUUCAUCGUGUGGGAGACACUGUCGCGCUUCCGUGGCACUGGAGGCGUGCGUAUUGAAGAUGACGUACUGAUCACCGAGACAGGCACGGAAAAUCUGACGAUCGUACCGCGCACUGUCGAAGAGAUUGAAACUUGGAUGGCGCCAAAUCGUGAAAAAUUGCAACUACCUCAGGAGAAAUUGUGCGUGUAAGCCAUUCGCAAAAUGUAAGUGUCGAUUUGUCAUUCGUCCUUUUGCAACCGUCGAAGAAAAUCCGUAACAACUGUGUAAAUUCGGCGAUUGGCGUCAAUUUUCAAGAAGCAGAGGAGCUCUUCGUUGAAAAUUUCGGCGCGUUUAUCAUACUCAAAUGACUGAAAAAGAUGUAAACACUUGUUAUACAUAUAUGUAUAUGUAAAUAUAUAUUAUUAUUAUAUUAUUUACAUAUAUAUUUUUUUCAUGUAUUUUUAUGGAAAAGUUAUUAAACGGUAGUUUUACAAGUA